GAGGAAUAUUGGUCAAUGGACGAGAGUCUGAACCAGCCAAGUAGCGUGAAGGAUGACUGCCCUAUGGGUUGUAAACUUCUUUUAUACGGGAAUAAAGUUAGCCACGUGUGGCUUUUUGUAUGUACCGUAUGAAUAAGGAUCGGCUAACUCCGUGCCAGCAGCCGCGGUAAUACGGAGGAUCCGAGCGUUAUCCGGAUUUAUUGGGUUUAAAGGGAGCGUAGGCGGGUUGUUAAGUCAGUUGUGAAAGUUUGCGGCUCAACCGUAAAAUUGCAGUUGAUACUGGCGACCUUGAGUGCAACAGAGGUAGGCGGAAUUCGUGGUGUAGCGGUGAAAUGCUUAGAUAUCACGAAGAACUCCGAUUGCGAAGGCAGCUUACUGGAUUGUAACUGACGCUGAUGCUCGAAAGUGUGGGUAUCAAACAGGAUUAGAUACCCUGGUAGUCCACACAGUAAACGAUGAAUACUCGCUGUUGGCGAUAUACGGUCAGCGGCCAAGCGAAAGCAUUAAGUAUUCCACCUGGGGAGUACGCCGGCAACGGUGAAACUCAAAGGAAUUGACGGGGGCCCGCACAAGCGGAGGAACAUGUGGUUUAAUUCGAUGAUACGCGAGGAACCUUACCCGGGCUUAAAUUACAACUGACUGAACCGGAAACGGUUCUUUCUUCGGACAGUUGUGAAGGUGCUGCAUGGUUGUCGUCAGCUCGUGCCGUGAGGUGUCGGCUUAAGUGCCAUAACGAGCGCAACCCUUAUCGAUAGUUACUAGCAGGUCAUGCUGAGGACUCUAUUGAGACUGCCGUCGUAAGAUGUGAGGAAGGUGGGGAUGACGUCAAAUCAGCACGGCCCUUACGUCCGGGGCUACACACGUGUUACAAUGGGGGGUACAGAAGGCAGCUACACGGCGACGUGGUGCUAAUCCCGAAAGCCUCUCUCAGUUCGGAUUGGAGUCUGCAACCCGACUCCAUGAAGCUGGAUUCGCUAGUAAUCGCGCAUCAGCCACGGCGCGGUGAAUACGUUCCCG
rnacentral:rRNA from 1 species